rnacentral:lncRNA from 1 species
AUUUCGUACGGCUCUUCAACGACGGAGUAUCUGUAAGUGGACCCCUUCUAAAAUGCAUAUUUUAAUAGUAGAAAUGCAUACAUGAAAAACAUGAUUUAAUGGUUACGUUUUAUGAGUAAAUUAGAUUUACACUUUAUGAUUAUCAUGCUCUACUGAGAAUAUUUUGGAAUACCAUACUUUAUCGAAUUUAUGUUCUUUGUAGUAUAUAUGAUGGAUGACUAUAUACUAUUUAUGAACAUGUUUUUACACUCUUUGUAGUAUAUAUGAUGGAUGACUAUAUACUAUGAAGAUGUUUUGAGAUAUAUGUACGUAUGUUGGAAAGAUUAUAU